rnacentral:rRNA from 1 species
UACGGAGGAUGCGAGCGUUAUCCGGAUUUAUUGGGUUUAAAGGGUGCGUAGGUUGUUUUUUAAGUCAGCGGUGAAAGUUUGUGGCUCAACCCCGUCGUGCCGUUGAAACUGGCGUUCUUGAGUGAGCGAGAAGUAUGCGGAAUGCGUGGUGUAGCGGUGAAAUGCAUAGAUAUCACGCAGAACUCCGAUUGCGAAGGCAGCUUACUAAGCCAUAACUGACACUGAAGCACGAAAGCGUGGGGAUCAAACAGG